GUAGUCCACGCCGUAAACGAUGAAUACUAGGUGUAGGGGUUGUCAUGACCUCUGUGCCGCCGCUAACGCAUUAAGUAUUCCGCCUGGGGAGUACGGUCGCAAGAUUAAAACUCAAAGGAAUUGACGGGGGCCCGCACAAGCAGCGGAGCAUGUGGUUUAAUUCGAAGCAACGCGAAGAACCUUACCUAGACUUGACAUCUCCUGCAUUACCCUUAAUCGGGGAAGUUCCUUUGGGAACAGGAAGACAGGUGGUGCAUGGUUGUCGUCAGCUCGUGUCGUGAGAUGUUGGGUUAAGUCCCGCAACGAGCGCAACCCUUAUUGUUAGUUGCUACCAUUUAGUUGAGCACUCUAGCGAGACUGCCCGGGUUUAACCGGGAGGAAGGUGGGGAUGACGUCAAAUCAUCAUGCCCCUUAUGUCUAGGGGCUACACACGUGCUACAAUGGCAAGUACAAAGAGAAGCAAUACCGCGAGGUGGAGCAAAACUCAAAAACUUGUCUCAGUUCGGAUUGUAGGCUGAAACUCGCCUACAUGAAGCUGGAGUUGCUAGUAAUCGCGAAUCAGAAUGUCGCGGUGAAUACGUUCCCGGGGCCUUGUACGCACCGCCCGUCACAACCAUGAGAGUUGGCAAUACCCAACGUACGUGAUCUAACCCGCAAGGGAGGAAGCGUCCUUAAAGGUCAGGGCGUCAGNGUUGGGGCUAAGUCGUAACAAGGUA
rnacentral:rRNA from 1 species